UACGUAGGGGGCAAGCGUUGUCCGGAUUUAUUGGGCGUAAAGAGCGUGUAGGCGGCCAUACAGGUCAGCUGUGAAAACUCGAGGCUCAACCUCGAGACGUCGGUUGAAACCGUAUGGCUAGAGUCCGGAAGAGGAGAGUGGAAUUCCCGGUGUAGCGGUGAAAUGCGCAGAUAUCGGGAAGAACACCCGUGGCGAAGGCGGCAUCCUGGACCAAUUCUGACACUGAGGAGCGAAAGCCAGGGGAGCAAACGGG
rnacentral:rRNA from 1 species